AAAAGUCCUUGGACCACAAGGAACAACUUUCCGUCCACUUUGGAGCUGGUUGUGUUUCAUUCGUAGCGAUGUUCGUGUUUGACAGCAGAGAACUGGUUUAUUUAUUUGGAAAUUCUUGGUUUUU